rnacentral:rRNA from 1 species
GUGGCAGCAGCCGCGGUAAAACCAGCACCUCAAGUGGUCAGGAGGAUUAUUGGGCCUAAAGCAUCCGUAGCCUGUUCUGUAAGUUUCCGGUUAAAUCCAUUAGCUCAACUAAUGGGCUGCCGAAAAUACUGCAGAACUAGGGAGUGGGAGAGGUAGACGGUACUCGGUAGGAAGGGGUAAAAUCCUUUGAUCUAUUGAUGACCACCUGUGGCGAAGGCGGUCUACCAGAACACGUUCGACGGUGAGGGAUGAAAGCUGGGGGAGCAAACCGGAUUAGAUACCCGGGUAGUCCCAGCUGUAAACGAUGCAGACUCGGUGAUGCGCUGGCUUGUGGCCAGUGCAGUGCCGCAGGGAAGCCGUUAAGUUUGCCGCCUGGGAAGUACGUACGCAAGUAUGAAACUUAAAGGAAUUGGCGGGGGGGCACCACAAGGGGUGAAGCCUGCGGUUCAAUUGGAGUCAACGCCAGAAAUCUUACCCGAAGGGACAGCAGAAUGAAGGUCAAGCUGGAGACUUUACCAGACAAGCUGAGAAGUGGUGCAUGGCCGUCGCCAGCUCGUGCCGUGAGAUGUCCUGUUAAGUCAGGUAACGAGCGAGAUCCCUGCCUCUAGUUGCUACCAUUACUCUCCGGAGUAGUGGGGCGAAUUAGCGGGACCGCCGCAGUUAAUGCGGAGGAAGGAAGGGGCCACGGCAGGUCAGUAUGCCCUGAAACUUUGGGGCCACACGCGGGCUGCAAUGGUAGCGACAAUGUGUUCCGAAACCGAAAGGUGGAGGUAAUCCUCAAACGCUACCACAGUUAUGAUUGAGGGCUGCAACUCGUCCUCAUGAAUAUGGAAUCCCUAGUAACUGCGUGUCAUUAUCGCGCAGUGAAUACGUCCCUGCUCCUUGCACACACCGCCCGUC